UACGUGUUCCUUGAGUUAUAAUCCGGGCUCUCCUGCACACGGGCCACCGGCCACAACCACAAAACGCCGCUACCGGCAUAUUUCCUGUAGUUUUCAUACAUUUUUUGAC